rnacentral:rRNA from 1 species
UGGGGAAUAUUGGACAAUGGGCGAAAGCCUGAUCCAGCCAUGCCGCGUGUGUGAAGAAGGUCUUCGGAUUGUAAAGCACUUUAAGUUGGGAGGAAGGGCAUUAACCUAAUACGUUAGUGUUUUGACGUUAACGACAGAAUAAGCACCGGCUAACUCUGUGCCAGCAGCCGCGGUAAUACAGAGGGUGCAAGCGUUAAUCGGAAUUACUGGGCGUAAAGCGCGCGUAGGUGGUUUGUUAAGUUGGAUGUGAAAUCCCCGGGCUCAACCUGGGAACUGCAUUCAAAACUGACUGACUAGAGUAUGGUAGAGGGUGGUGGAAUUUCCUGUGUAGCGGUGAAAUGCGUAGAUAUAGGAAGGAACACCAGUGGCGAAGGCGACCACCUGGACUAAUACUGACACUGAGGUGCGAAAGCGUGGGGAGCAAACA